rnacentral:rRNA from 1 species
GAUGAACGCUGGCGGCGUGCCUAAUGCAUGCAAGUCGAGCGAACAGACGAGGAGCUUGCUCCUUUGACGUUAGCGGCGGACGGGUGAGUAACACGUGGAUAACCUACCUAUAAGACUGGGAUAACUUCGGGAAACCGGAGCUAAUACCGGAUAAUAUAUUGAACCGCAUGGUUCAAUAGUGAAAGACGGUUUUGCUGUCACUUAUAGAUGGAUCCGCGCCGCAUUAGCUAGUUGGUAAGGUAACGGCUUACCAAGGCAACGAUGCGUAGCCGACCUGAGAGGGUGAUCGGCCACACUGGAACUGAGACACGGUCCAGACUCCUACGGGAGGCAGCAGUAGGGAAUCUUCCGCAAUGGGCGAAAGCCUGACGGAGCAACGCCGCGUGAGUGAUGAAGGUCUUCGGAUCGUAAAACUCUGUUAUUAGGGAAGAACAAAUGUGUAAGUAACUAUGCACGUCUUGACGGUACCUAAUCAGAAAGCCACGGCUAACUACGUG